rnacentral:rRNA from 1 species
UACAGAGGGGGCAAGCGUUAUUCGGAAUUAUUGGGCGUAAAGGGCGCGUAGGCGGCUUGGCAAGUGGGUGGUGAAAUCCCUGGGCUUAACCGAGGAACUGCCGUCCAAACUGCUUCGCUUGAGUCCGGGAGAGGUGAGUGGAAUUCCCAGUGUAGCGGUGAAAUGCGUAGAUAUUGGGAGGAACACCAGUGGCGAAGGCGGCUCACUGGACCGGUACUGACGCUGAUGCGCGAAAGCGUGGGGAGCAAACAGG